GCUGGCGGCGUGCCUAAUACAUGCAAGUCGAACGAGUUCUGAUUAUUGAAAGGUGCUUGCAUCUUGAUUUAAUUUUGAACGAGUGGCGGACGGGUGAGUAACACGUGGGUAACCUGCCCUUAAGUGGGGGAUAACAUUUGGAAACAGAUGCUAAUACCGCAUAAAUCCAAGAACCGCAUGGUUCUUGGCUGAAAGAUGGCGUAAGCUAUCGCUUUUGGAUGGACCCGCGGCGUAUUAGCUAGUUGGUGAGGUAACGGCUCACCAAGGCAAUGAUACGUAGCCGAACUGAGAGGUUGAUCGGCCACAUUGGGACUGAGACACGGCCCAAACUCCUACGGGAGGCAGCAGUAGGGAAUCUUCCACAAUGGACGCAAGUCUGAUGGAGCAACGCCGCGUGAGUGAAGAAGGCUUUCGGGUCGUAAAACUCUGUUGUUGGAGAAGAAUGGUCGGCAGAGUAACUGUUGUCGGCGUGACGGUAUCCAACCAGAAAGCCACGGCUAACUACGUGCCAGCAGCCGCGGUAAUACGUAGGUGGCAAGCGUUAUCCGGAUUUAUUGGGCGUAAAGCGAGCGCAGGCGGUUUUUUAAGUCUGAUGUGAAAGCCCUCGGCUUAACCGAGGAAGUGCAUCGGAAACUGGGAAACUUGAGUGCAGAAGAGGACAGUGGAACUCCAUGUGUAGCGGUGAAAUGCGUAGAUAUAUGGAAGAACACCAGUGGCGAAGGCGGCUGUCUGGUCUGUAACUGACGCUGAGGCUCGAAAGCAUGGGUAGCGAACAGGAUUAGAUACCCUGGUAGUCCAUGCCGUAAACGAUGAAUGCUAGGUGUUGGAGGGUUUCCGCCCUUCAGUGCCGCAGCUAACGCAUUAAGCAUUCCGCCUGGGGAGUACGACCGCAAGGUUGAAACUCAAAGGAAUUGACGGGGGCCCGCACAAGCGGUGGAGCAUGUGGUUUAAUUCGAAGCAACGCGAAGAACCUUACCAGGUCUUGACAUCUUUUGAUCACCUGAGAGAUCAGGUUUCCCCUUCGGGGGCAAAAUGACAGGUGGUGCAUGGUUGUCGUCAGCUCGUGUCGUGAGAUGUUGGGUUAAGUCCCGCAACGAGCGCAACCCUUAUGACUAGUUGCCAGCAUUUAGUUGGGCACUCUAGUAAGACUGCCGGUGACAAACCGGAGGAAGGUGGGGAUGACGUCAAAUCAUCAUGCCCCUUAUGACCUGGGCUACACACGUGCUACAAUGGAUGGUACAACGAGUUGCGAGACCGCGAGGUCAAGCUAAUCUCUUAAAGCCAUUCUCAGUUCGGACUGUAGGCUGCAACUCGCCUACACGAAGUCGGAAUCGCUAGUAAUCGCGGAUCAGCACGCCGCGGUGAAUACGUUCCUGGGCCUUGUACACACCGCCCGUCACACCAUGAGAGUUUGUAACACCCGAAGCCGGUGGCGUAACCCUUUUAGGGAGCGAGCCGUCUAAGGUGGGACAAAUGAUUAGGGUG
rnacentral:rRNA from 1 species